rnacentral:rRNA from 1 species
UGGAUCCAGACUUUGAUCAUGGCUCAGGAUGAACGCUGGCGGCGUGCCUAAUACAUGCAAGUCGAACGAAACUUCUUUAUCACCGAGUGCUUGCACUCACCGAUAAAGAGUUGAGUGGCGAACGGGUGAGUAACACGUGGGCAACCUGCCCAAAAGAGGGGGAUAACACUUGGAAACAGGUGCUAAUACCGCAUAACCAUAGUUACCGCAUGGUAACUAUGUAAAAGGUGGCUAUGCUACCGCUUUUGGAUGGGCCCGCGGCGCAUUAGCUGGUUGGUGGGGUAAAGGCUUACCAAGGCAAUGAUGCGUAGCCGAACUGAGAGGUUGAUCGGCCACAUUGGGACUGAGACACGGCCCAAACUCCUACGGGAGGCAGCAGUAGGGAAUCUUCCACAAUGGGCGAAAGCCUGAUGGAGCAACGCCGCGUGGGUGAAGAAGGUCUUCGGAUCGUAAAACCCUGUUGUUAGAGAAGAAAGUGCGUGAGAGUAACUGUUCACGUUUCGACGGUAUCUAACCAGAAAGCCACGGCUAACUACGUGCCAGCAGCCGCGGUAAUACGUAGGUGGCAAGCGUUAUCCGGAUUUAUUGGGCGUAAAGGGAACGCAGGCGGUCUUUUAAGUCUGAUGUGAAAGCCUUCGGCUUAACCGGAGUAGUGCAUUGGAAACUGGGAGACUUGAGUGCAGAAGAGGAGAGUGGAACUCCAUGUGUAGCGGUGAAAUGCGUAGAUAUAUGGAAGAACACCAGUGGCGAAAGCGGCUCUCUGGUCUGUAACUGACGCUGAGGUUCGAAAGCGUGGGUAGCAAACAGGAUUAGAUACCCUGGUAGUCCACGCCGUAAACGAUGAAUGCUAAGUGUUGGAGGGUUUCCGCCCUUCAGUGCUGCAGCUAACGCAAUAAGCAUUCCGCCUGGGGAGUACGACCGCAAGGUUGCAACUCAAAUGAAUUGACGGA